CUCCCAUGUUGGAUUGUUUGAAUUCCUAUUGUAGUCUUUGAAUGCUAUAUGUUGUAUGUGAAUGCUAUGCAGUGUGUGAAUAUACUGGUUUCCUUCCGGAAUAUAAGGCUGCAUGUGUGACUUCUGAGUUUAAUUUUGUUGCUUUGAGCAGCGUGUAAAUGAUGUGGUUAAUGUGUGAAUGUUGUGGGCCAUCUGUGAAUACUGUGUGUGAAUACUUUAUGCAGUGCAUGAAGCCUGUGGGCAGAGAAUGGACAUUGUGGGUAGAUGUAUUGGUUUGAAUCCCAUGGGCAGUAUGGGCCUAUAUGCAGAGGGCACACUAUAUGUAAUUAUUUAGAAAGCCACAUACAUGCAAGCAUUGAAUUGCCAUUGUUGAACAGUGUUUAUGGAAACAUCCACACUAUUUUCCAUUUAACAAUCAGAAGAGGAAGAUACAAUAUAGAGGGAGAUACAGUAUAAUGAGAUGCAUUUAUAAGUGUUCUAUUCUAAAAAUGGUCUAAUGCAAAAUAGUCUAUAAUGGAAUGUGUCUGCUGAUAUACCCAAGGUUUAGUACU